AUGCCAUUUCUAGUUCACAUAAAUGAAUUGAAAUAUACAAUAAAUAAAAACAAUAAGAAAAAACUAAACCAAAACACAUGCACAGCCGCACAACAUAUACAUACGGUAACAACUAACAACACCUUUUUUUGGAUAGAAAAUAUACAAUAACACUUAAACAGACACACGCAAAUCAAAGAAUGGGUUGAAUCCAACCCGAAAAGGAACAAAACACAACUGAAAAAGUAAUAACAAAAUUAAACAAACUUAGAAAGUUCUAUUUGUUGAAGCAAGAAGUAAAUCGCACAAGUAGAUAUGGAUGGGACGUGAGACACAGAGAGCGUGAGAAAAAGAGGGCUGAGAGAAAGAAAAAAAAUUGCAGAGAAGAUCGUGAUGGUGGUUUAUGGUGGCUAUCUAGUUGGAGAAGAUGUUGACUUGUAGAAAAAUAGAUUUUUGGGUUUCCUCUCUUGUAUAUUUCCUCUUGUUGUGCUUAUGAGAAGGAAAAUGAGGAUAAUUAUUAGAGAAGCUUUCUAUGAAAAUGGGUUAAUGCACUGAAAUAAAGGCUCCUCUCUUUUGCUUUACUACAUUUUUUUUUCUAUUGUGAUUUAUCCCUCUUUGUAAUAUUUUCG
rnacentral:lncRNA from 1 species